rnacentral:lncRNA from 1 species
CCAUGAUUCACUAAUACUUAGUAAAUAACCUAAUUACAAUAUUUGCAUAAAGUUAAUCAUCAAUUAUAUUGACGAUUUUAUCCUUCAAUGAUUCAUAAUCAUCGAUCAGCCAUCUGAUCGACAAGAAUCUCUUUUAUAUGUAACUCCAAAGAUUCUAUUCUGUCUGAUAGUGAGAUAUAUUAUGAUCUACAUCAUAAUAUCAUCGAAACUCCUUUCUAUGGGUUAGAAAAUUUUAACUCUGUCCUUCGAGGGUCAUCAAUCAUCAAGACGACAUCCGGUGAGUCUCACAAUCUACCAAUGACAUCUAGCAGUAUAUAAUAACAAUUCAGUAGAAUAAAAGUAUGAACCCCUAGGUGCAGUUACUGUGUAAUUCAGUCCUUCUAUCGUGAG